CAAUUUCUCCAUGAUGCCUAAUUCCCUUAAACUAAAACUGUAGGUGUAGAUACAUGCUACCGCCACACGCACAAACAGAGAAUUUCAAAUUGGAAUGGAGAUUACGCGUCGCUGUCAAGCAUUAUGCAGUGGAUUAAUCCUUACUAAUAUGGUAGUAUCUAUGAAGAAAUAUGUCUUUUUUUAAAAAAAAUAAAAUAAUAUAAAUUUCAGGGCAUUUGCGUUGUGAACAAGUAGAUCUUCUUUUGGCUGGUUUGGAAUUGGUUUCGAGCUGUUGUUUUGGGCAUAUUGGCAAUUGCUCUUCUAGACAACCCAAUUACGGCUUUAAUCUCCGCUUUAGCUGCUUUUGUAGCUGCUAUUCAGCGUUUGCUUGCUCGGAGUCGGAGAGCUUGAUGAUGUGUCAUUUCCAAGUUCUAGCUGUUUUAGACCCGCUUCAUAAUUAGAUUCACAAGCCCUGAAUCCUCAUGUAGAAAGUUUUUGCGCUACCCAACUUAAACCAGAUCGUGGUGUUGGAAGAAAUUCUUGAAGUUGAGUUUAGGCCGAUAACUAGAAGCUCUAGAAAUUGAUCAUUAUUAAUGGGCAGCCGUGGAAAUGUUUGAUGGCCUCCUUUAGGAUUGCUUAGAGAGAAAAUCUCUUCUCAGUUGCUGUUCCUUUUGAGUUCUAAGACUGGAAAAAUGUCCGUUAUCAUUAGAGAUGAAAUGUGCGAAUGGCCAAGUGGGAGAAGAAGGGUACAUAAUUGUUACAAUUAAUUGAAGCUACCACCUCUUAUUUUUUUUACCUCUUCCUGGUUCAAAUGAUUCUGUUACAUGGACUUUGGACCCCACAGUGCGAGGCAGAAAACACAAUACUAGUGGUUCUCCUUUAUAUUGUGGUUUGCUUGCGGGGAAAGAUUGACCACCAAGGAUAGACUGCAUUCAGGGGUUAUGGAGAUUAAUCCAAUCUGUAUGUGUGCAUGAGCAAGUAGGGAACUAUAAAUGAUCUGUUUUUCCUGUGUCCCUAUUCAGCACAAAUUUGGGAAGCUGUGCAAAGGAAAUGCUUGUUGUUUAGGCAGGCUGGUGAUUGGGAUAUUAAAUUUGGAUGGAUGAUCAAACAUGCUGCUCAGAAGUCUUUUUGGUAGUCUUCAUCGACUAGCUUUUGCUGCAACAGUAUAUCACCUAUGUGUAGGGGAACAACCAAAUAUUGGUCAUGGUGCUUAAGGACAUGCAUGGAUCAUAGCAGGUUGAAAGAAUAUGUUGAAAAGGAGCAGAAUAUAUUCAGCUUCAAACGGAAGUGAAUUUUCUUACUUUGUACUUUCCAGAGUUAAGUUUCCCUGAGUUGAGUGAGUGAGCUGAUUUUUUUGAUAUUCAAUAUACCAGUAAAGUUAUAUAGACCUGUACAUAGCUUAGCUGGUAUUGGCUUUUUUUUUUUUUUUUUUUAAAGUAUAGGUUAAAAUGUAAAAUUACAGUUAUUUGACUGCCAUACCUGCUGCAAUUGAUCGAGUAUGUAUGUUCCUUGUGCAAGUUUCUGAAGAUCAGUGAUACGAUAAUAAGACAUGCAGAAGUAAAUAUGUGUAGAUCUUUAGGGCAUACAGAAGUAAACAGGCAUACAUACUGGACUGUUUACUGGAUUAAUUCUUACAAUAUCUGUACCUAAAUCUGCCCUUUUUAGGGUAUGUUAUUAUGUCCAAAUUUUCAUGUGCUAAGGUCCUUGAAGGGCUUAUAUUC